GGGCGGGGGUUCUUCCCUCUCGGAGCGACGCUCCUGGACCUUCCCAGGAAAUUGGUACAGAGUUCCAGAAAACCAGUGCGGCCAGAGCGCGGGGAGCUGUCACGGCAGGAGCGAGGCACAUCGUAGCAGAGAACACACGGCGUGACUUUACUCUUACGAAUCUUACUGGGGGUUUGACUAAUAGGGAAGUCGGGCGUCCAUCUGGCUUCAGUCCCCACGGCUCGAUUCCCCCUCCGGAGGCCCAGCGUGGAGACUAUUGGCCGCUGCCCCUUUAAGGGCCGCCACUCCCCCACUCCCACCCCCUCCCCAGCGGUGGCACCCAAGGGGUGGGGGUGGCGGGGAGACUGUGCGUUCUCGCGGGUCAGCUGGGGAAGAUGGCCCAGGCCGGGGGAGUCGCUCCCACGCCCCGAUGCCCCCUCCGCUGAGCAGAGUGAGCUGGGAGCCCCGUUCCCUCAUUCCUUCCUGCCCCACGCGCGACGCGGGGAUGGCUCCGUGGCCUCCUGGGAACAGCUCUCUGACCCCGUGGCCAGAUAUCCCCACCCUGGCGCCCAAUACUGCCAACGCGAGUGGGCUGCCAGGGGUGCCCUGGGCGGUGGCGCUGGCGGGGGCGCUGUUGGCGCUAGCGGUGCUGGCCACCGUGGGAGGCAACCUGCUGGUAAUCGUGGCCAUCGCCCGGACGCCGAGACUCCAGACCAUGACCAACGUGUUCGUGACUUCGCUGGCCACAGCCGACCUGGUGGUGGGGCUCCUGGUCGUGCCCCCGGGGGCCACGUUGGCGCUGACCGGCCACUGGCCCCUGGGCGUCACCAGUUGCGAGCUGUGGACCUCGGUGGACGUGCUGUGUGUGACCGCCAGCAUCGAAACCCUGUGCGCCCUGGCGGUGGACCGCUACCUGGCCGUGACCAACCCGCUGCGCUACGGCGCUCUGGUCACCAAACGCCGCGCCCGAGCCGCCGUGGUCCUGGUGUGGGUCGUGUCCGCCGCGGUGUCGUUUGCGCCCAUCAUGAGCAAAUGGUGGCGCAUCGGGGCCGACGCCGAGGCUCAGCGUUGCCACUCCAACCCGCGCUGCUGCACCUUCGCCUCCAACGUACCCUACGCGCUGCUCUCCUCCUCGGUCUCCUUCUAUCUUCCGCUCCUGGUGAUGCUCUUCGUCUACGCACGGGUUUUCGUGGUGGCUACGCGCCAGCUGCGCUUGCUGCGCCGGGAGCUGGGUCGCUUCCCGCCAGAGGAGUCUCCGCCGGCUCCUUCUCGCUCCAGGUCCCCUGGCCCGGCGGGGCCGUGCGCCUCGCCCGCGGGGGUGCCUUCCUACGGCCGGCGGCCGGCGCGCCUUCUGCCUCUGCGGGAACACCGCGCCCUGCGCACCCUGGGGCUCAUCAUGGGAACCUUCACUCUCUGCUGGUUGCCUUUCUUUGUGGUCAACGUGGUGCGCGCCCUCGGGGGCCCCUCUCUGGUGUCCGGCCCCACUUUCCUCGCCCUUAACUGGCUGGGCUAUGCCAACUCUGCCUUCAACCCGCUCAUCUACUGCCGCAGCCCGGACUUUCGGAGCGCCUUCCGCCGCCUGCUGUGUCGCUGCUGGCCGGAGGAGCACCUCGCCGCUGCCUCCCAGCCCCGCGCCCCCUCCGGCGCCCCCACGGCCCUGAGCAGCCCCGCCGAGUCCAGGGAGCCCCCACCGCUCGACGGAGAAGACUAGAGGGCCCCCCAUCCCCCACCCCCGCGGCCGUCCCCAAGUCUUCGGGCUCAGUUCUGGUUUCUUUGAAAAGUCUGAUAGCCCUGAAGGUGAGGAUUCGUUUCCGGAAUGAAGGCUAGCCGGGCUGAGGAAGCUGGCUUCCUGCGGACUUUCUUAGGCCUUGAAGAAACAGCUCCGUUGAUCCGGAACCUUUGGAAAGCCUCUGGCCGGCCUCGGUUCAGAAUGAGCCCUUGGAGUUUCCCAGCUGGAAAACUCUGCCCUUCAGGCGCCUGACUGACGACUGGGUCCUGGGAGGAGGACGGGGGCUGACUAGGGAGGGGAAAUCCUUACCAAGUGGGUUUUCGCCGGCUCUCUUUCUUUCUGAGAGAAGUUUUCUAAAACCCCAGCCCUGAACUUCACCGCUACCUCAGCAGCUGGGGUGUCCGGCUGCCCGUGCCCAGGUGCCGGGGCAGGAGCCGGGCUGCGUUUAGCCCGGGCAGCCGCACCUGUCUUACUGUGUGCUGUGUGUGCAGGGGCAAGGCGGGCUCCGUCAUUCUGUUCCUUCUGCCUCCCAGACCCUGAGGAACCCGCCCGGGUGCUGGAGGCCCAGGCUGAGAAGAGGAAGCUGGGGAAGGUCACGGUUUGGGGUUUUGUCCUCCGUGGCUUCCUCAUUGUAGACACACCUACCUCACAGCAGUUUCAGGACUUUACUUUAGAGUUUGGGGUGGGGGGGGGGGGGACGUUCCUGGUUUCCUGGGAAGGUGAACCUUUAGAAUGGGUCCCUUCUUUUCCUUUUGAAAUCAAAUGAAUAAAUUUUCCUGAAUGCAGUUUA